AUUAAUAAGCGGAGGAAAAGAAACUAACAAGGAUUCCCUCAGUAACGGCGAGUGAAGCGGGAAGAGCUCAAAUUUGAAAUCUCCGGUGCUUGCAUCGGCGAGUUGUAGUUGCGAGAAGCACUUUCUAGGUGGAUCGGCGGUGCCUAAGUUGCUUGGAACAGCACGUCGCAGAGGGUGACAACCCCGUCUGUGGCACCGCCGGCCGCUGACGAUGUGCUUUCGAAGAGUCGGGUUGUUUGGGAAUGCAGCCCAAAAUGGGUGGUAAACUCCAUCUAAAGCUAAAUACUGGCGUGAGACCGAUAGCGAACAAGUACCGUGAGGGAAAGAUGAAAAGAACUUUGAAAAGAGAGUUAAAAAGUACGUGAAACCGUUGGAAGGGAAACGAAUGGACUCAGCAAUGCGCCCUCUGAGAUUCAGCCGCGUGGGUGGCGUCGGCGCGGGGUUUGCGGAUCUGAAUGGACCGCGUCCCGGCGCUCGCUGCUCCCCGCCGUCGCACUUCUCUGGGGCGCGCGUCAACGUGGGUUGGGACUGGGUCUGAAAGGUGCCGGGAAGGUAGGUGUGGGCCUUCGGGUCCGUUCUGUUACAGCCCGGUUCUCUCAUGGCUCGGGCCCGACCGAGGAGCAGACAGGGCAUGCCUCCUGUGGCUAGGGUCCCGUCCUUCCGGCCGGCUGUCCAGUGUGGUGGACUGCUUGCAGUGCUCUGCGACGGCUGCCGGUCGUUGGGGUGGUGAUCUCGUACCAUGCCCUUGGGAUGUUGGCGGUCAUA
rnacentral:rRNA from 1 species